GACGAACGCUGGCGGCGUGGAUUAGGCAUGCAAGUCGAACGGUAUCAUCCUUUCGGGGGUGAGAGAGUGGCGAACUGGUGAGUAACACGUAGGUUAUCUACCCUCAAGACGGGGACAACCCAGGGAAACUUGGGCUAAUACCGGAUGUGAGCAACUUUUAGUUGUUUGAAAGGUGGCGUAAGCUGUCGCUUGGGGAUGAGCCUGCGUCCUAUUAGUUAGUUGGUGAGGUAACGGCUCACCUAGGCAAUGAUAGGUAGGCGGCCUUAACAGGUGGUCGCCCACACUGGGAUUGAGAUACGGCCCAGACUCCUACGGGAGGCAGCAGUCGAGAAUAGUCUACAAUGGUCGGAAGACUGAUAGUGCGACGCCGCGUGAACGAUGAAUCCCUUCGGGGUGUAAAGUUCUUUUAUAUGUGAGCAGUGCUUCUUAUAUUAACAGUAUGGGGAGAGAGAUAUUAGCAUAUGAAUAAGCAACGGCUAACUCCGUGCCAGCAGCCGCGGU
rnacentral:rRNA from 1 species